CUUGACGACCAUAGAGCAUUGGAACCACCUGAUCCCAUCCCGAACUCAGCAGUGAAACGA
rnacentral:rRNA from 2 species